GUCGAGCGAGCUUGCCUAGAUGAAUUUGGUGCUUGCACCAAAUGAAACUAGAUACAAGCGAGCGGCGGACGGGUGAGUAACACGUGGGUAACCUGCCCAAGAGACUGGGAUAACACCUCGAAACAGAUGCUAAUACCGGAUAACAACACUAGACGCAUGUCUAGAGUUUAAAAGAUGGUUCUGCUAUCACUCUUGGAUGGACCUGCGGUGCAUUAGCUAGUUGGUAAGGUAACGGCUUACCAAGGCAAUGAUGCAUAGCCGAGUUGAGAGACUGAUCGGCCACAUUGGGACUGAGACACGGCCCAAACUCCUACGGGAGGCAGCAGUAGGGAAUCUUCCACAAUGGACGCAAGUCUGAUGGAGCAACGCCGCGUGAGUGAAGAAGGGUUUCGGCUCGUAAAGCUCU
rnacentral:rRNA from 1 species